rnacentral:rRNA from 1 species
AAAUUGAAGAGUUUGAUCAUGGCUCAGAUUGAACGCUGGCGGCAGGCCUAACACAUGCAAGUCGAACGGUAACAGGAAGCAGCUUGCUGCUUCGCUGACGAGUGGCGGACGGGUGAGUAAUGUCUGGGAAACUGCCUGAUGGAGGGGGAUAACUACUGGAAACGGUGGCUAAUACCGCAUAACGUCGCAAGACCAAAGAGGGGGACCUUCGGGCCUCUUGCCAUCAGAUGUGCCCAGAUGGGAUUAGCUUGUUGGUGAGGUAACGGCUCACCAAGGCGACGAUCCCUAGCUGGUCUGAGAGGAUGACCAGCCACACUGGAACUGAGACACGGUCCAGACUCCUACGGGAGGCAGCAGUGGGGAAUAUUGCACAAUGGGCGCAAGCCUGAUGCAGCCAUGCCGCGUGUAUGAAGAAGGCCUUCGGGUUGUAAAGUACUUUCAGCGGGGAGGAAGGUGUUGCGGUUAAUAACCGCAGCAAUUGACGUUACCCGCAGAAGAAGCACCGGCUAACUCCGUGCCAGCAGCCGCGGUAAUACGGAGGGUGCAAGCGUUAAUCGGAAUUACUGGGCGUAAAGCGCACGCAGGCGGUCUGUCAAGUCGGAUGUGAAAUCCCCGGGCUCAACCUGGGAACUGCAUU